rnacentral:miRNA from 1 species
GUGUGAAGUGACGUAGGGAAG